rnacentral:lncRNA from 1 species
CAGGAACAAGAGGGAUCCACUGAAGAAGAUCCUUUUCCUUCUCCUUCCCUUUUUCAAGAGGGAUCCACUGAAGAAGAUCCUUAUCCUUCUCCUUCCCCUUUUUCGGAAGAAGGGUUGGAUUCGGGCAAAAUCGAUGAAAUGGAAGAAAUUCGAGUGAAUAGAAAGGACAAAAUAAAUGAUAAAUUCCACUCUCACCUUAUAGGGAGAGGCUAUAAAAAUAUUAGUACUAGUAAUUGUGAAAUUUAUGAUAAAAAAGAUUCUUAUCUGAAUUUGAUUCAAAAAUCAAAAAGUAGAAAAAAGUAAGUAAUAAACUAAUAAAAAGACGGAAACAUAAGCUAAAUACAAGAAGAGAUAAGAAGAGAUGCGUCCGCCCCCUAUAUAUUUGAUACCUUCUCCUACAAUGAAACUAAUAACCCCAACCCCGUUAGUCAUCCCAUCAAUUACUCGUCGAUCAAAAAAAUGAGUAAAUUCAGCUAAGCCUCUUAUCCCACCAACUAAGAAUCUUGUAUAAAAAGCAUCUAUGUAAGCACGAUUAUAUGACCAAUCAUAUAUGCCAUUUAUAAUUUUGUCCCACAGAAUUCUCUUAGGACCCUUUUUAACAAAAAAAUUAAUUAACUCCAAAUUUUUUAAAGAAGAAUAAAUGGGUUUAUAUAAAAAGGAUGCUAUAAAUAUUCCGAAAUAAGCUAUACUGACUGAAAGAACCGCAUCCUUUAAAAAUUCAUUCCAAUCCAUCGAAUUAUUCGACUUUUGAUGCAAAAGAUUUAUAGAUGGAGCUAACCAUUUCGAUAAUAUAUCCAAAUUAACUCCAUCUUGGUUGAAAGGAAUUCCUAUCGAUCCAACAAACAAAGUAAAGAGUCCUAAUACAAAUAUUGGGAAUAGCAUAGUAUUGUCCGAUUCAUAAGGAUAGGAAUAAACCGCUUUAUGCUCAAAAUGAGCAAUAGUCAUAAAAGGUCGUGUCAUCUUUCUUUCAUUUUUAUCAAUUGGAUAUUUAGUCUUUGAAAAAAAAUAAGUACUUUCAUUAUUAUUAACUCCAAAUUUUUUAAAAAGAAUAAAUGGGUUUAUAUAAAAAGGAUGCUAUAAAUAUUCCGAAAUAAGCUAUACUGACUAAAAGAACCACAUCCUUUAAAAUUUCAUUCCAAUCCGUCGAAUUAUUUGACUUUUGAUGCAAAAGAUUUAUAGAUGGAGCUAACCAUUUCGAUAAUAUAUCCAAAUUAACUCCAUCUUGGUUGAAAGGAAUUCCUAUCGAUCCAACAAACAAAGUAAAGAGUCCUAAUACAAAUAUUGGGAAUAGCAUAGUAUUGUCCGAUUCAUAAGGAUAGGAAUAAACCGCUUUAUGCUCAAAAUGAGCAAUAGUCAUAAAAGGUCGUGUCAUCUUUCUUUCAUUUUUAUCAAUUGGAUAUUUAGUAUUUGAAAAAAAAUAAGUACUUUCAUUAUUAUUCAUUGUUAAUAAACAAGAGUUUUUCUUAAUUUCGUUUUUACCCCAUAGAGAUGUUGAAUAGAAACGGGUUUUGUAUUUCCCACUAUAAUUUUGAAAAUGAAUGUUUAAAUGCCCUUCAAAAGUAAGUAAAUAGAUCUGAAACAUAUAAAAUGCGGUUAAUCCCGCCGUGGCCCAAGCUAUUAUUGCGAAAAUUGGCGAAUACAACCAACUACCAUUAAGAAUUUCAUCUUUGGACCAAAAACAAGGAAGAGGUGGAAUACCACAAAGAGAAAGUGUACCUAAUAAAAAUGUGAUUUUGGUAAUUUGUCCAUGUUUUCUUAAACCUCCCAUAAGACCCAUAUUUUCUGGCUUUUAACUGGAGAAUAUCCAAUAAUAGUUUUCAUUGAAUGAAUAAUGGAUCCGGAUCCUAAAAAUAAUAAUGCUUUGGAAUAAGCAUGAGUAAUCAAAUGAAAUAAAGCGCUUCGAUAAGACCCCAUACCUAGAGCUAACAUCAUAUAACCCAAUUGAGACAUUGUAGAAUAGGCUAAACCUCUCUUAAUAUCUUUUUGAACAAGAGCUAACGUAGCUCCUAAUAAUACUAUUAUUAUUCCUAUAAUCGAGAUCAAAUACAUUAUGUAAGGUAUAGCUCUUAAAAGAGGAAGAAGCCAAGCUACAAGAAAAAUCCCCACCGCUACCAUAGUAGCAACAUGUAUAAGAGCCGAAAUAGGAGUAGGCCCCUCUAUAGCAUCAUGUAACCAUACGUGAAGGGGGAAUUGGGUGGAUUUAGCAACUGCACUGACAAAUAAGAGACAACGCAUAAAGUAACAAAUAAAAAAUUGACCUCAUUAUUAUAAAUCAAGUUAUUGAAUAUUUCGAAUAAAUCCCUAAAUUCGAAACUCCCCGUUAUCCAAUAAAAACCUAAAAUUCCUAAUAAUAAACCAAAAUCCCCAACACGAUUAGUUACAAAGGCUUUUUGACAAGCAUUUGCCGCAACAGGUCGUGUAAACCAAAAUCCUAUUAAUAGAUAGGAACACAGACCAACCAAUUCCCAAAAAAUAUAAAUUUGUAUCAAAUUCGAACUAGUAACUAAUCCCAACAUGGAAGUACUGAAAAAACUCAUAUAAGCAAAAAAUCUCAAAUAGCCUUGAUCAUGAGCCAUAUAAUUAUCACUAUAAAUAAGAACCAUAAUCCCAACAGUAGCGAUUAGUAUUAACAUAAUAGAAGUAAGUGGGUUGGUCAAUUGUCCGAAGUCUAAAGAAAAAUCAUUAUUAAAUAUCCAAUACCAUACAUAUAGAGAAAAAGAACUGCUAUUUAUUUGCUGAAUAGACAGGUAGAUUGAAAAAAUCAUGACUAUGCUUGACAAUAAAACACUUUGAAAAGCCCACAUACGGCAAAAACUUUUUUUUGCCGUUGGAAAAAGAAUAAGUCCCACUCCUAUUAACAUAGGGACUGGAAGUGGAAUGAAAGGUAUGAUCCACGCAUAUUCAUAUGUCUGUCCCAUAAAAAUGUUUUUAAUUCUUAAUUAAUUAUUUUUGAUUCACCGGAUCUUACCUCUUAUGAAAAGAGUCAAUAAAAAGUAAAAAUAUGAACUAACUUAAACUAAAUUAAAACUUAAAUCGAAUUUUCUAUUCUUAUCUUUUGGCUAUAUCGAUAAUGUUUUAUUUUAGUAUUAUAAAUUGAGUAUUAUAAAGAAUUCAUUUUGAACAAUAGAUGUAUUUCACAUCUAACUAUAACUAACAAUGAGGAAUUUUAUAAUGGCAGUUCCAAAAAAAUGCACUUCGAGAUCAAAAAAACGUAUUCGUAAAAAUAUUUGGAAAAGGAAGACAUAUUGGAUAGCAUUAAAGGAGUUUUCAUUAGCGAAAGCUAUUUUUACUGGGGAGUGAAAAAGUUUUUUUUGGGUACGCCAAACAAAAAUAAAUAAGUAAUAAAACAUUAGAAUAAUUUGAAUCAACUUGAAAAAAUAAUCCAAUAUAUUCUAAAAUUAUUCAAUUAUUAUCUAAUUGAAUAAUUUAAGGAUUUUCCUUUCAUAAUAGAAUUAGGAAAUCCUAUAUUUACUAUUCACUGAAUAAUAACUUUUUUGUUGACAAAAGAAUAAAGAUCGUUUCUAUUCCAAGGUGGGGAGUUUGAUUUUCCCCACCGACCUAUUUGUUUGCAGAAUUAAAUUAAAAAAAAAAUUCUAUAUUUCGAUUCUAUUUCCAUCUCUCCAUAUCUAGAGAAGAACGUAUAUAAAAAUCUUUAGUGAAAGUUAAGAACUCAUUGAAACUAAUUGAUUCUAUUUUGCAACCUUUGUGUUUUGUCUAACUUUAUAACUUUUUAUUUUCUCUGAAUUAUUAUAUAGACCCCAUGUAUAUCUUGCCCUUAACCCAAUAGAGAAAAUUGCUUAAUGAAAUUUUGUAUGACUAAUUGUCAAUUUUGAGCGAUGCAAAAUAGGUUCUUUUCUUUCUAUUUUGUCGUCAAAAUACCUUUUUUGUUUUAGAUUUAUGAAAAAUAAAUAAAUAAUAAAUUGCUGAUUAAACAAUGAAAACAAAAACUUUUUGAACUCUAUUCCUUAAUUGAAUAUAGAACGGUUUAGUUACAAGAGUUCAAUUCGCGGAAAGCAUAAAAUAUAGGAAAGUUCCAGGUUAAAUAAAAAAACUAAGACUCUAAACUCAAAUCUAAAAUAAUGAACCUUCAACCUCCAAUUCCUAUUUGAACAACCUUUUAUUGUUAUUAAUCCAUUUGAAUCAUUACUAAACUAAAAUAGCUUACUCAAUCUCGACGAUUGCUUAUUCAUAGGCUAUUAUGAGUUCAAGACAGGCCGCUAUGGUGAAAUUGGUAGACACGCUGCUCUUAGGAAGCAGUGCUAAUGCAUCUCGGUUCGAGUCCGAGUGGCGGCAUACCGUCUUCUAAAAAGGAUAAAUAGAUCUUAUAAUGAAUUCAAUUCCCGAUUUCCAUUUUAGAAUUAUGUAAUUAAGGGACUCUUCUUUUUUAAGAUUUUUAUGAUAUUUUCAACCUUAGAGCAUAUAUUAACUCACAUUUCCUUUUCGAUCGUUUCAAUUGUAAUUACAAUUCAUUUGAUAACCUUUUUAGUCGAUGAAAUCGUAAAGCUAUACGAUUCGUCAGAAAAGGGCAUAAUAGUUACUUUUUUCUGUAUAACAGGAUUAUUAGUUACUCGUUGGAUUUCUUCGGGACAUUUCCCACUAAGCGAUUUAUAUGAAUCAUUAAUUUUCCUUUCAUGGAGCUUCUCCCUUAUUCAUAUAAUUCCGUAUUUCAAAAAAAAUGUUUUAAUUUUAAGUAAAAUAACGGGGCCAAGUGCUAUUUUUACCCAAGGCUUUGCUACUUCAGGUAUUUUAACUGAAAUACACCAAUCUGGAAUAUUAGUACCUGCUCUUCAAUCUGAGUGGUUAAUAAUGCACGUAAGUAUGAUGAUAUUGGGCUAUGCAGCCCUUUUAUGUGGAUCGUUAUUAUCAGUAGCACUUCUAGUGAUUACAUUUCGAAAAAACAGAAAGCUUUUUUAUAAGAGCAAUGGUUUUUUAAACGAGUCAUUUUUCUUGGGUGAAAAUGUUUUAGAAAAUACUUCGUUUUUUUCUGCUAAAAAUUAUUACAGGUCCCAAUUGAUUCAACAAUUGGAUUAUUGGAGUUAUCGGGUUAUUAGUUUAGGAUUUACUUUUUUAACCAUAGGAAUCCUUUCGGGAGCGGUAUGGGCUAAUGAAGCGUGGGGGUCGUAUUGGAAUUGGGACCCAAAAGAAACUUGGGCAUUUAUUACUUGGAUCGUAUUUGCAAUUUAUUUACAUACUCGAACACAUAGAAAUUUGCGGGGUGCAAAUUCUGCAAUUGUAGCGUCUAUAGGCUUUCUUAUAAUUUGGAUAUGCUAUUUUGGGGUCAAUCUAUUAGGAAUAGGGUUACAUAGUUAUGGUUCUUUUCCAUCAACAUUUAAUUGAAUUCAAGACAAGUUAUUACAAAUACACGAGCGGGCGGCGCAUUGUAUGAACCAACAUGCGGACCGUGUGAAUCAUCAAUACAAUAUUUGAUUCACACGGUUUUCUACCAUAUGUAGUUCAAUUUCAUUGUUUUUACUUAACUUAAGAGUUAAGAGAAGAAAAAAAGAAGACUUUUUUUCAUUGUCCAAGAAUGGUUUUAAAAACAAACAUAGGUUUUUUUAUUUCAGUCAUCCAAAUUAUCUAUAAAAAAAAUUAGAUAGAAUAACUUCGACCUUGUCAAUUGCUAAUGAAAGAACGAAAUCGGGGUAUAUACCAAUACCUAUUACGGGUAAAAAGAUGGAGAUCGAAAGAAAUAACUCUCGGGGUCCAGAAUCAAAAAAAGAAUCCUUCGGGGCAUUAAAUAGCUUGUAUCCAUAGAACAUCUGGCGUGACAUAGAUAAUGAAUAAAUAGGAGUUAAUAUCAUUCCAAUUGCCAUUACAAAAGUAAUUAGUAGUUUUGGAAUUAAAAGAUAUUUUUGGCCGGUAAUUAUUCCAAAAAAUACUAUCAAUUCGGCAACAAAACCACUCAUACCUGGUAAUGCAAGGGAAGCCAUCGAAAAGCUACUGAACAUCGUGAACAUUUUUGGCAUUGGAAUAGCUAUUCCGCCCAUUUCGUCAAGAUAAACAAGGCGGAUUCUAUCAUAAGUCGUUCCCGCCAAGAAAAAAAGUGCAGCACCAAUAAAUCCAUGAGAGAUUAUUUGUAAAAGGGCUCCAUUAAGUCCCGUAUCGGUUAGAGAACUAAUUCCUAUAAUUAUGAAACCCAUAUGAGAGACAGAGGAAUAGGCUAUUCUUUUUUUUAAAUUCCGUUGGCCAAGAGAUGUUGAAGCUGCAUAGAUUAUUUGUAUUGUACCUAUUAUCAUCAACCAAGGAGAAAAUAUAGAAUGGGCAUGAGGUAAUAAUUCCAUAUUGAUUCUAAUUAAUCCAUACGCUCCCAUUUUUAAUAAGAUUCCGGCUAGAAGCAUACAAGUACUGUAAUGUGCUUCUCCAUGGGUAUCUGGUAACCAUGUGUGUAGGGGGAUAAUGGGCGAUUUGACAGCAAAAGCAAUAAAAAAUCCAAUAUAGAAGAUUAUUUCUAAAACCACAGGAUAUGACUGAUUAACUGAUGUUUCAAAAUUUAAUGUUGGUUCAUUAGAACCAUAUAAAGCAACACCCAAAACUCCCAUUAAGAGAAAAACAGAACCCCCCGCCGUGUACAAAAUAAAUUUUGUAGCUGAGUACAGACGUUUCUUUCCUCCCCACAUGGCUAGAAGUAGAUAAACAGGAAUUAAUUCUAACUCCCACAUGAUGAAAAAAAGUAAAAGGUCCCGAGACGAAAAUGAUCCAAUUUGGCCACUGUACAUUGCUAACAUGAGAAAAUGGAAUAAUCGAGAAUCUCGAGUAACUGGCCAAGCCGCCAAAGUCGCUAAGGUAGUGAUAAAUCCUGUUAAUAAAAUGGGUCCUAUAGAAAGUCCAUCUAUUCCUAAUUUCCAAUGGAAAUCAAAAAAAUCGAUCCAUUUAUAAUCCUCCACUAGUUGUAUUAAUGGAUCAUCCGAUUGGAAAUGAUAACAAAAUGCAUAAGUCGUUAGAAGGAGUUCUAAAAUACAUAUACAUAGAGUAUACCACCUAAUUACCCGAUUUCCUUUAUGGGGAAGAAAGAAAAUUAAAGAACCCGCAAAUAUCGGAAAAACAACAAUUAUUGUUAACCAAGGAAAAUAAUUCGUAGUAAAGACAAGAUACACUUGGACCAAAAAAACCCGUGCUCAAAAUAUUUUUAUUUUCGAGCACAGGUUUGUCGGUAAAAAAAAUUAAAUGGAUUCGAGUAGAGUUUUCUCGAACGUAUCAAUAAGCUAGACCCAUACUGCGAGUUGUUUCAUGCCAUAAAUAAACUCGGACACUCAAGAAAUCUGUUGGACAAGCGGAUUCACAUCUCUUACAACCAACACAGUCCUCUGUUCGUGGAGCAGAAGCAAUUUGUUUAGCCUUACAACCGUCCCAAGGUAUCAUUUCUAAUACAUCGGUGGGGCAGGCUCGGACACAUUGAGUACAUCCUAUACACGUAUCAUAAAUCUUUACUGAAUGUGACAUUGGGUCUAUACGUUUUUGAAUGUUAUAAAUUUUCGAUCUAGUAAACUUAGAAACGAAUCAUAUAUUUAGAUACCAGACGAAUCAAUGAGUUAUCAUAAUUUUCUAAUCAACCCCCUUCGGGAUUGGUUUAUGAAAUAUGAGAGAGGCCAAAAUACUUUGAUUUCUUAUGUUUUGCAAACAAGAUCAUACCUUACGUAGCAAACAUGCUAAUUAAAAUCGAUUUAUCAAUAUUAGAAUCUAGAUGAUUAAUACUAAUUAUUCAACAAAUUUGAUUGGUUGAUACGAGUUGAUUUUCUGUUACGGUAAAUUGAUGAAACAAUAGCCAGUCCAAUGGCUGCUUCAGCAGCUGCAAUAGCUAUAACAAAAAUUGAGAAAAUGUCUCCUUUUAAUUGACGAUUAUCAAAAAAAUCAGAAAAUGUUACAAAAUUUAUAUUAACCGCAUUCAAUAUAAGUUCAAGACACAUAAGGGCUCUAACCAUAUUUCGACUUGUGAUCAAUCCAUAGAUACCGAUAGAAAAUAAAUAGGCACUCAAAACAAGUACAUGCUCGAGAAUCAUUAAACAACUCCUUAUCAAUCUCGACUCCUUUCAAUAUGAACAACAAUUCAACCAAUUUAAUUGACUAGUAUAUAACAAGUAUGGAACAACGAAAUAUAUUGGUACUAGAUUGACCUAAAGUCUUUCUAUUUAUACAGCUGAAAUUCAAAUAUAAUUGAAGGAAAAUGAAUGUGAUAAGACAGAACAAAAUUUUAUUUGAAUUCCAAGUUUUAAUAGAAAUUUUUUAUUGCCGAGCUACAGCAAUUGCACCUAUUAAAGCAACUAAAAGGAUUAUUGAAAUAAGUUCAAAUGGAAGAAAAAAAUCUGUUGAUAAAUGAAUUCCAAUUUGUUGACUAUUACUUAGAAAAUCUUGCUCUAUAAUCUGGUUUGAUCUUGUAGUCCAAAUAAUACCGUACCAUGACGUAUCUGAAAUAGUAGUAAUUAGUGAAAUAAAAAGACUUAUACAAACCAUCGAAGUAAUUCCAUCUCCUACGGUCCAAAGAUGAAAAUCUUUGUAAUAUUCUGAACCAUUCAUGAACAUCACAGCAAAAAUGAUUAAAACAUUUAUAGCUCCUACGUAAAUAAGUAGCUGCGCAGCAGCUACAAAAUAGGAGUUAGAUAGAAUAUAGAAUAACGAUGUACAAAAAAGAACCAACCCCAAGGAAAAGGCAGAAUAAAUUGGAUUGGGAAGUAAUACCACUCCUAGACCCCCUAAUAUAAGACCCGAUCCUAGAAAGACUAAAAGAAAAUCAUGUAUUGGUUCAGAUAAAUCCAUUUUUUAUAAAAAAUCAAAAACGAAGAAUUUCAUGACUUUAUUGACCUGACCAGGAAAAAAGAAGUUUUUCUAUUUUUUAUGAUACUUUUAAAUUGUUAAUUGAAUGAAAUUGUAAUGGGUAUGAAUUGACGUAGAUGUUUUUAUUUUAUUGGACCACUAUCAAUUCUUUAUUCGUCGAAAGAGUAGUUUAAACCUAUCUAUUUUUGAUAUCAUUUAUCUACUUUAAAACCAUUACUAUUAUAAUAUAGAAAUCCGUUUUGUUUUCAAUCUAAAUUAAGCUAGGAGUCUCAUUAAGCAACCACUAGUUUGAAUUGACCAAGCAAAAAUCUCAUUCUUUUAGAUACGAACUAAGCCUUCGUAAUUCGUAAUUUUUUUCGAAUCAAAUUAGGGAUUUAUUCAUUGUUUAUUUGAAGUAAAUUCGAAACUGUUCGAAUUGUGUAAUCAUCAAUUACUGACAUUGGUAAGCGACCCAAAGCGAUUUGAUUAUAAUUCAAUUCGUGACGAUCAUAAGUAGAAAGUUCAUAUUCUUCGGUCAUUGAUAAACAAUUUGUUGGGCAAUACUCAACGCAAUUACCACAAAAUAUACAGAUUCCAAAAUCAAUACUGUAAUUAAGCAAUCGUUUCUUUCGAAUAUCAGUUUCCAACUUCCAAUCAACAACGGGUAAAUCUAUAGGACAUACACGCACACAUACUUCACAAGCAAUGCAUUUAUCAAAUUCAAAGUGUAUUCGGCCUCGGAAACGUUCCGGUGUGAUCAAUUUUUCGUAGGGGUAUUGAAUAGUUACAGGUAAACGAUUUGCGUGGGACAGGGUAAUCAUGAAACCUUGGCCGAUGUAUCUGGCGGCUCGUAUUGUUUGUUGACCAUAAUUUAUGAAUUCAGUUAUCAUAGGGAGCAUAUUUAGAAUAUCUAUAAAAAACAUUUUAUGCUUGUUUCUUUCUCUUGUUUGAGACAAGUCGUGAAUCUAGAAUAUUGUGGUCUUUUACAGUGAAAGAAGUUGGGACGAGGUUGUCAAUAAUAGAUUACCUAGAGAAAUAGGUAAAAGAAAUUUCCACCCAAGAUUUAAUAGUUGGUCCAUUCUCAGCCUCGGUAAAGUCCAUCUUGUUGCAAUAGGAAUGAACAAAAACAAAUAAGUUUUGGCUAAUGUGAUAAAGAUACCAAUUAGUGUUCCAAAGACUUUACCCCUUUUAUUUAUGCCAAAUAGCUCAGGAACAAAUAUGUACGGAAUAGAAAGAUUCCAACCUCCCAAGUAAAGAACUGUUACAAAUAAUGAAGAAACUAGUAGAUUCAGAUAUGAAGCAAUGUAAAAUAAACCAAAUUUGAUACCUGAAUAUUCGGUUUGAUACCCUGCUACUAAUUCUUCUUCUGCUUCUGGUAAAUCAAAAGGUAAUCUUUCACACUCGGCUAGAGAAGAAAUUAGAAAAACGAUAAACCCGAUGGGUUGACGCCACAAAUUCCACCCCCAAAAACCAUAUUUUGACUGCGCUUCCACUAUAUCAACUGUACUUGAACUGUUAGAUAAUCAUAGUCGAUGAUAACAUCACUGUGCCCAUCGCUAUUACAGAACCGUACGUGAGAUUUUCACCUCAUACGGCUCCUCAGAGGUCACAAAUAAAUCUAAGGGCCCUUUCCUACUCUUUAUCUUGAUAUGUUUGUCAGAUAGAGUCAAAAUCUAUCCUAAGGUCCUAAAUUAGACCAAUGGAAUUCUGUCUGCUAUAUUUAAAACUAAUAAAUAAGUGCUUCUGAAUUGAUCUCAUCUUUUAAGAAUUUUAAUUUUUCUUUGUUGAUUAAUAACCUUAUCAUUAAAUAAAAUGCGCUUUAUAGCAAUAUCCUAUAUACAUUUCAACUUCGAAUUUUCAAUUACGAAAAAAAUUAGAGAGUCCAUUAGUUCAUGAAUCAUGACAAAAAUUUUCUCUCUCUAAAUCGAAAUAAAAAUUUAAUUAUAGGAAAGAAAGAAUAAAAAAAAAAAAGACAUCCCCCCUUUUUGCUUUUGCAAUUUGAUUCUUUUCUUUCUAUUUCGAUUUAUUUUAUUUCAUUCCUAUUCUCCUUUCUCAGAAAAAGGGCCUUUCUUUAACCAAAGUAAAAGAUUACUUCGUUCUUGAUAGUUAUUUACUUACUAAGUGGAUAGGAACAUACUCUGGAUCAGAAUCAUGGGGAGUACUUCUUGAUCAUUUCUACGAACGCAAAGCCCCAAUUCGAAUUCCUUUUAUGUACAGAAAUAUCCUCUUGGAUAACUUCCAUAAUCUCAAUUACUAAUCCUUUGUGUAUCUUGGUCUUCCUAACCAUCCACUCAUUUUUGCUUUCAACCUCUCGUUGUGGAAAUCCAUCUAUGGUAAUAGACAGUAAAAACCCCAUAAAGUUGAUACAGUUGAUCUUUUGAACCCGCUUCAAGCUAUCAUGACAAUUCAUCAAUCUUGGGGUAAACAAUCUCUCGUGCAUAUGUUUACUUUUUUCACCAUUUGAUUUUUGUACAUAGGAAAUGAGACUCAACCUUUUUACUCCAACUUUAGAAGCCGUUUUCUUUCACUCAUAUAACUAUCUGGUUUAGUUCAUCAACUCAAAUGCUGAAGAAAAAUUAAAAUAUAAAAUAUAUAUAGUCAAUCAAAUCUUUUUAUCCUUGUUUCUAGAGUUUCUAGAAAGAAAAGAAUUUGGAGAAAUUUUAGGUCUCACCGAAUCACACGUAGAGAUAUUGAUAACACACAUAGAGCUAAUGGUAUUUCAUAACUAAUUGAUUGGGCGGCUGCCCGUAAACCACCUAAAAAGGAAUAUUUAUUAUUUGAUCCAUAUCCUGACAUAAUAAGUCCAACGGGAGCAAUACAUGAAAUGGCAAUCGAUAAAAAAACACCAAUACUAAGAUCGGCUAGAACAAGGUGAUCGCUAAAAGGAAUUACUGAAUAACUUAGAAAGAUAGAUAUUACUGCUAUGGAUGGUCCGAUACUGAAUAAAUGAGUAUAUCCUGUAGAUGGAAUAAGGUUCUCUUUCAAAAGUAGUUUUGUCCCAUUUGCUAAAGCUUGAAGAAUUCCUAAAGGGCCGGCGUAUUCCGGUCUGAUACAUUGUUGUGUUCCCAUAGAUAUUUCUCUUUCUAACCAAACAAUUAAUUGUACACCUAUUGUGAUUCCUAACACGAGUCAAAAUAGGGACAAACAUCCAUAUGAUCCCAUAGGCUUCUUUUAAGGGUUCCAAUUUGGAAAAAGAAUUGAUAGUCUCUAUUUCUGUUGUAUCAAUUAUUAUUUCAACGAUCAACUUCUCCCAUAACGAUAUCUAUGUUACCUAGUAUUGUCAUAAUAUCAGCCAAUUUCAUUCUUUUAACUAACUGAGGAAGAAUUUGCAAAUUGAUAAAACCUGGUGGCCGAAUUUUGUAUCUCCAAGGAAAAACGCUCGGAUCUCCUAUGAUAAAAAUUCCCAAUUCUCCUUUUGGGGCUUCAACUCUCACAUAAAGUUCUUUUUUCAAUAAUUCAAAAGUUGGAGAAGGUUUUUUACUAAUAAACUAAUAUUCAAAAUCAUUCCAUUCAGGAUGUUUAAUUUGUCAAAAUGUCGAAUUUCUAAAUUUUUGUAAGGCCCUUCGGGAAUUCCUUCCAGAGCAUGUUGAAUAAUCUUUGUAGAUUCUGUCAUUUCACCGAUUCGUACUAAAUAAUGAAUCCCCUUCUCGUUGCCAUUGAAGAGUCCAAUCAAAUUUGUCGUAAGACUCAUAAUGAUCAACUUUACGAAGAUCCCAUUCUAUUCUGGAAGGUCGUAGCAUUGGUCUCGAUAAACUCCAAUUUAAUGCCUCGUAUUGCCCAAUAAUGCCUAUGCCUUCAACUUGUUCUAAAAAAAUAGGAUUCCCGGUAAUAAGUUUUUGAUACUCAACAACCCUUGUUAAAAAAUAAUUGCAAAAAUCCAAACAUUUAUCUACCCAGCCAUAGGGUAGAUCGGCAACCACUCCUCCAAUACAAAAAUUACUAUGCAUUAUUCGCAUAUCGGUAGCAGCUUUGAAUAGGUCAUAUAUCAAUUCUCUUUCUCAAAAAAUAUAGAAGAAAGGGGUCUGCGUACCAAUAUCCACCAUAAAAGGACCGAGCCAUAACAAAUGAGAAGCGAUCCGACUUAACUCCAACAUAAUGACUCUGAUAUAGCUAGCCCUUUUAGGUACUUGAAUAUUGCCUAAUUGUUUGGGUCCAUUUGUAGUUAUUGCUUUUGUUAACAUAGUAGCUAAAUAAUCCCAAUGUGUUACAUAAGGUAAAUAUUGUAUAAUUGUUUGAUUUUCCCCAAUUUUCUCCAUCCCUCUAUGUAAAUAACCUAAUAUUGGUUCGCAGUCGACAACAUAUUCACCAUCUAGAGUAACGAUGAGUCGAAUAACACCGUUCAUUGAUGGGUGCUGAGGCCCCAUAUUGACUAUCAUGAGGUCUUUUCUUGUAGUUGGUGUAAUCAUAAGUUUUUUAACGAUUCAUUCUUCCAUGAAUUACUGAAAUUGAAAAGAAGUUCAUCAAAAUUUAAUCGAAACAUAUAAGUGAAAAUGAAAUGACUCUUCAAAUUAAUCAAAUUAACGAGUUUUUGUCUCUCGAAUGUCGAACUGAUUAAUUAAUUCUUUAUAACUUACUCUAUUUUUUUUGACAAAUAAGCUAGCAGUCGUUGACGUUUUCCCAAAAUUUUCUUCAACCUCUCUGAGAUAAAUAGUUCUUUUUGUGCAAUUCUAAAUGUGAAGUAAGUCUCCGUAUCUUAUUGGUGAAAUUGAAUACUUGAAAUUCAACAGAUCCUCUCUUUUCUUCUUGAGAAAUAACUGAAAUGACAGAAUUUUUUACCAUAAAUGAAUUUCCCCUUUCUUUAUUUUACAGAUAUGGAUUUUAUCGAAUUUUAUCGAUCAGUAAUAAUAAUGCCAGUAAUUUGAACGUGGUAUAUAGACUUAAUUUCUUUAUGAACCCCUAAUUUUAUCAAUUCCAAUAAAUUAAUCAAAUUUAAAAUUUGAUUCAGAUAGGAAUCCAAAAAGAAAAAGUUGGUAGGUACGUUUUUUUCAUUCACAAAAGCGAAUAAUUUAAACCUAAAAUCCGAAAAUGAAGAAGAUUCCGUUGAUUCAUUUCUAGAUCUAAUCGAUACCUUAUUGAUUUAGUAUCGUCUACUCGAAUUAGAUUCGAAUGAGAUGUAAGACAAGGCAUGUGUGCAUUUGUUUUCUUUCAGAUACUCUAUACGAGACAGGGUAUAUAGUAAUAUCAAUUAAUUUUCAAUCGUGGAUACAUAUGUAUCCUUAAGAUACGGAAACGGCUACCAUUGUUGGUAUCGAACCAAUAACGAUUCAUACAAGCUAAAUCUUCUAAUCGAUAAUCAAGCCAAAGAAAGAACUUUAAUUUAAUUAAUUCAUUUUAAUCUUUAUAAAGAGGUUUCCUUUCAUCCAAAAAUUUACUCCAGUUUUUUACAUUAGUUUCAUUGGAAAAUACUGAAUUUCUAUCGACGCCAUUCCAAUUCAAAGAAUUAAAAAAACUUCGAAUUCUCAAUUCUCUUCGACGUCUAGACCAUAAAAUAUUUUCAGGAACAAGCAAAUCAAAAUGAUUUUUAUCAACAUAUCUUUGGUCUCGGUAUCUUUGAUUAGUUUGGUGUUUACUUUUAUGAACCAAUGAAAUACCUACGGUUUGAUACAUAAUAAAUUGUCCAUUAUUUUUUACAGACAAUCGAAUAGGUUCGAUAAUCAAUAACCCCUUCUUCAUCAAUUCUGUAAGAGGUAAAUUCGCCUGAAUCAGCAUUAUAUCCAAACUCAUUUCUCUCCUUUGAAUUGACGAUAUAGCAAUUUUGUUUGGGUUUAUCAGUCGAAGCAGGAGACAAUAUACCUUUACAUUUUCGAUUAUUCUUUGAUUCAAAGUAUCGUUCCAUCUCAAUUGAAAAAGCAAAUAACGUUUCAAGAACAAAUCUAGUUCUGCUUCCGUGUUGCUUUUGUAUUGUUUUUUAUUUUUACCCUUCUUUGUGUUUGAUUCCGCGUAAUCUUUUUCAAGAUCGUUUUGAUGUUUUGAGAAAACAGGGCCCAGAUUUCCUUUGUUUUCUAUAUCUGAUCCACGCUCUCUUUUUCCUUGACUUGCGGGUUCUUUUGCUUCUUGAAUUCGAUUCUUUAUUUUUUUAUUUGAUGGUAGAAAAAAGUUUUUUUUGUUGUUUUUAUUGAUAUUUUGAUUUUUACUAACAUUUUCAUUUGUAUUCAAAUUUAAAAGAAGUAAUUUUCUUGGAAUAAUCCACGAUUUUAUUUUAUAUACAUUAUAAAGUAGUACAAAUUCUGGGAAGAAUCAAAAUUCCAUACCCAAUAUGGGACGAUUAAAUAUUUUUUCAUUUAUUCCCAUCCAAUCAAAGAAGUCUUUUUUCGAAUUUUUUUUAGUUUUUUCUGGAUUUUGAUGAGUUGUAAGAUAAAAAAGUCCUUUUUUAUUAAUUAUUUCAUAAUUAUUAAUACCAAUUUUAGUAUUUCGAUUACUGUUGGUAUCGAUCUUAACCCAGGCCUCAAUAUCUCCUUUUUGUCUAACAGAAAAAUGGAGAAUUUUCCAAUCAAAAUAUUUUCUAUAUUUUCUAUCGAGAUUUCUUUCUAUAUGUAGAUGUAGAAGAUUGCCUUUUAUUAGAUAAUUAUUGAUAUGAAGAUUGUCGGGCAUAUCAAAAGGGUUGUGUUUGGGCGUGUUGGAAUUAUAAGAAAUUUCGAAGUUCUUAUUUACUUGAAAGGGUAAUCUAGAAAUAAAUGAGUAACUUUUAUUUUCAUAAUUAAUCGAUUUAUAUGAUAAAAGAUCAUAUCUAUAACAUUUUUUAAAAUUAUCUUUUUGGUUUGAUAAUGAAUAGAGUUCAGAAUCAUUUUCUUUUUUGUAAUGAAUUAAUUGGUCUUUUUCAUAUGAAUUCCAUUUGUUUAAGUUUCUAUUUUUAUUUUGAGCCAUACAACUUUGAUUAACCCCAGUUCUCCAUUUUUUUGGCAUUAAUCUAGACCAUCUAAUCUUAGAUAAAUCGUAUUGAUAAUGCCGUCUUAACCAGUUUUUCCAUUGAUUGAUUCUAUAACUCUGAGGUUUUUUAUGUUUUAAUUCAGAAUGAAAUAUUCCUAGUGUUCUAAAAUAGUCCUUUAUUUUAGUCUUAAGGAAAAAAGACGUUCUGUUAUAUUGAAGAACAGAUUUAAAUUUAGACAAAUUAAUAACUUGGGUUUGUGAUAAUUUGUAAAAUACAUAUGCUUGUGACAAGUAGGAUAAAUCAAAAAAACUAUGUGAAUUUUUCUUACUAAUAUUAUAAAUAUUAUAAAGUGACUUUUUUAUAGUCGAAAUAAAGAUAAAGUUAAUUUUGUUUUUAUUAUUAAUUUUUUCUUGAUUUAUUUCAUUAUUGGAAAUGUAUUUCUCAAUCAAUUUCUUUGUUGAUUUAAGACGGAGUUGUGUAUUAAUUCUUGUAAUAUUAAUGAUAGAUAAAAAUAGAUCGAUGUAUAAUCUUUGAAUGAAUAAUUUUCUAAAAUAAUGGAAUUGACAUAUUAAUCGAGUAUUUCUUUUUUUUAAUAUUUGGAAAAUAUUUUUUGGCGAUUUAGGACUAAUGUCUAUUUCUGGAGUUACUUUCUUUUUCUCUUUUGUAAUUCUUUCUAUUUGAUUUUUUAUUGUACUUGUUCUAUCAGUCAAAUCCUUCAUUUUGGUUUCUAUCAGUGAAGAAUUUGGCCAAUUUCCAGAUUCAAUUUGACUAAAUGAUUCGUUAAUUAUUUGAUUACUAAUUAGAUAAUCUUUUUCUUUUUUCGUUUCAUUCGAUUCAGAUAUUUCUUUGAAUCUAAAUAAUACAAUUGGAUUUAUGUUUGAAAGUUCUUUUUUUAUUUUUUUUAGAAAUAGAAUAUUUUUUAUAAGCCAUUUUUUGGUUUCUUUUGAAACUCUUCGAAAUAAUUUUGUUUUUCCUUUUAAAACUUUUCGAGUUAUAGUUAUAAAAGUUAUAAAAUAUUUCUUUUUAAAUUUUCCAAUUUUUUUUUCGAUUCCUUAAAAAUGGGCUCAAAAAAGGAAGGGCACUUUCGGGGAGAACCAAAGGAAGUUCAGCUUCCAUUCCCAAAACUGUUAAAAAACAAAAAAUCAUUUUUUUGUUUUUUCUUUUUCAUCAGCUCUACACGGGAGGGAUACAGUUUACAUAUAUGCCAAGGUUUCAGACAAAAAGGAAAUAAAAUUUUGAUCUGAAUCCCAUCGCUCAACCAAUUUUGUGGAAAUUCUGUUUCUGAUAAUUGAACACCAUUAUAAGUACAUGUAAUAUGCAUUUCUCUAUUCCAUUCCUGCAAUCCUCAGACCAUUCAGGAAGUUGCAAGAAUAACAUACACCCGAGAUUUUUGGCUAUUAUCAAUGAAAGUAAUACAACAUAUUUUUGAAGAAUUGAUUGAGUUAUUAACAUGUAACCACUUAUUAUUUGCGCACAAAGAAUGUUAUCCCAGGCUUCUCUACAGCUAGCCGUGCUUUUUCCUUUCUGGUGUUCCCCUUGUUUUGUCCUUUUCUUUUUUCUCUUCUCUUUUUCUUUUGUUCUUCUUUAGACUCUAGAAUCUUGAAUUCUCCCUCUUUACCUUUCCAAUUUUGAAAAAUUGGUUUAGUCAGUCCAGAGAUAUCACAGGAAAAAAGAUGGGGUGGGGGAAGGGGGGGUUAUUCUAUCGAUAAAAAGAGGGGAAUGCGCAUUUGCUUGAAAUAGUUUCCAAAUAACUAUUUUUCGCCUUUAAGCCCACAUAGAACCUGUAAUUAUACCUCACCGAAAAUCGGAUUGUUGCGAACAUAUUAUUAAAGGAACUUCCUCAUUGGUCUCAUCAGGAUCUUUCUUCUCGUUGUUGGCAGUAAA